AAAAAUUUAGUUAAACUUAUAACAUUAGUUUGUCAAACUAAAAUAAUUUCAUUUAUGAAAUAAUUUUUA
rnacentral:tRNA from 1 species